rnacentral:tRNA from 1 species
GAGGAUGGCUCAGUGGUUAAGAGCACUGGCUGCUCUUCCAGAGGUCCUGAGUUCAAAUCCCAGCAACCACA